rnacentral:rRNA from 1 species
UAGCUAGUUGGUGAGGUAAAGGCUUACCAAGGCGACGAUCUGUAGCGGGUCUGAGAGGAUGAUCCGCCACACUGGAACUGAGACACGGUCCAGACUCCUACGGGAGGCAGCAGUGGGGAAUUUUGGACAAUGGGGGCAACCCUGAUCCAGCCAUGCCGCGUGAGUGAAGAAGGCCUUCGGGUUGUAAAGCUCUUUCGGCCGGGAAGAAAUCGCAUGGGUCAAUACCCUGUGUGGAUGACGGUACCGGAAUAAGAAGCACCGGCUAACUACGUGCCAGCAGCCGCGGUAAUACGUAGGGUGCGAGCGUUAAUCGGAAUUACUGGGCGUAAAGCGUGCGCAGGCGGUUUUGUAAGACAGGCGUGAAAUCCCCGGGCUUAACCUGGGAACUGCGUUUGUGACUGCAAGGCUAGAGUACGGCAGAGGGGGGUGGAAUUCCACGUGUAGCAGUGAAAUGCGUAGAGAUGUGGAGGAACACCAAUGGCGAAGGCAGCCCCCUGGGUCGAUACUGACGCUCAUGCACGAAAGCGUGGGUAGCAAACAGGAUUAGAUACCCUGGUAGUCCACGCCCUAAACUAUGUCAACUAGGUGUUGGGUGGGUAAAACCAUUUAGUACCGUAGCUAACGCGUGAAGUUGACCGCCUGGGGAGUACGGCCGCAAGGUUAAAACUCAAAGGAAUUGACGGGGACCCGCACAAGCGGUGGAUGAUGUGGAUUAAUUCGAUGCAACGCGAAAAACCUUACCUACCCUUGACAUGCCAGGAACUUGCCAGAGAUGGCUUGGUGCCCGAAAGGGAGCCUGGACACAGGUGCUGCAUGGCUGUCGUCAGCUCGUGUCGUGAGAUGUUGGGUUAAGUCCCGCAACGAGCGCAACCCUUGUCGUUAAUUGCCAUCAUUUGGUUGGGCACUUUAACGAGACUGCCGGUGACAAACCGGAGGAAGGUGGGGAUGACGUCAAGUCCUCAUGGCCCUUAUGGGUAGGGCUUCACACGUCAUACAAUGGUCGGUACAAAGGGUUGCCAAGCCGCGAGGCGGAGCCAAUCCCAGAAAGCCGAUCGUAGUCCGGAUUGCAGGCUGCAACUCGCCUGCAUGAAGUCGGAAUCGCUAGUAAUCGUGGAUCAGCAUGUCACGGUGAAUACGUUCCCGGGUCUUGUACACACCGCCCGUCACACCAUGGGAGCGGGUUCCGCCAGAAGUAGGUAGCCUAACCGCAAGGGGGGCGCUUACCACGGCGGGGUUCGUGACUGGGGUGAAGUCGGAACAAGGUAGCCGUAGGGGAACCUGCGGCUG